GGUGAACCUGAGGUUCCUCCAACAACAGUCCUCUUAUUAGAAGUCCAAGCUCUCCUUCACUUAUUUACCUUUUGGAGACCAAGCCACCAUGGGUUACUGACAGACCAAAAUAUCCUGACAACUCCCGAAUGCCGGAAGGAGAGAAUGGGUU
rnacentral:lncRNA from 1 species